UACGUAGGGUGCAAGCGUUGUCCGGAAUUAUUGGGCGUAAAGAGCUCGUAGGCGGUUUGUCGCGUCUGCUGUGAAAUCCCGAGGCUCAACCUCGGGUCUGCAGUGGGUACGGGCAGACUAGAGUGCGGUAGGGGAGAUUGGAAUUCCUGGUGUAGCGGUGGAAUGCGCAGAUAUCAGGAGGAACACCGAUGGCGAAGGCAGAUCUCUGGGCCGUAACUGACGCUGAGGAGCGAAAGCAUGGGGAGCGAACAGG
rnacentral:rRNA from 1 species